AUUGAACGCUGGCGGCAUGCUUUACACAUGCAAGUCGAACGGUAACAGGUUAAGCUGACGAGUGGCGAACGGGUGAGUAAUGCAUCGGAACGUGCCCAGUCGUGGGGGAUAACGCAGCGAAAGCUGUGCUAAUACCGCAUACGAUCUCUGGAUGAAAGCGGGGGACCGAAAGGCCUCGCGCGAUUGGAGCGGCCGAUGUCAGAUUAGGUAGUUGGUGGGGUAAAGGCCCACCAAGCCAACGAUCUGUAGCUGGUCUGAGAGGACGACCAGCCACACUGGGACUGAGACACGGCCCAGACUCCUACGGGAGGCAGCGGUGGGGAAUUUUGGACAAUGGGGGUAACCCUGAUCCAGCAAUGCCGCGUGCAGGAAGAAGGCCUUCGGGUUGUAAACUGCUUUUGUACGGAACGAAAAGCUCUGGGCUAAUACCUCGGGGUCAUGACGGUACCGUAAGAAUAAGCACCGGCUAACUACGUGCCAGCCGCCGCCGUAA
rnacentral:rRNA from 1 species